rnacentral:rRNA from 1 species
GACGAACGCUGGCGGCGUGCUUAACACAUGCAAGUCGAACGGAAAGGCCCUGCUUGCAGGGUACUCGAGUGGCGAACGGGUGAGUAACACGUGGGUGAUCUGCCCUGCACUUCGGGAUAAGCCUGGGAAACUGGGUCUAAUACCGGAUAGGAGCCAUUUUUAGUGUGAUGGUUGGAAAGUUUUUUCGGUGUAGGAUGAGCUCGCGGCCUAUCAGCUUGUUGGUGGGGUAAUGGCCUACCAAGGCGGCGACGGGUAGCCGGCCUGAGAGGGUGGACGGCCACAUUGGGACUGAGAGACGGCCCAGACUCCGACGGGAGGCAGCAGUGGGGAAUAUUGCACAAUGGGCGCAAGCCUGAUGCAGCGACGCCGCGGGGGGGAUGACGGCCUUCGGGUUGUAAACUCCUUUCGCUAGGGACGAAGCUUUUUGUGACGGUACCUAGAGAAGAAGCACCGGCUAACUACGUG